rnacentral:rRNA from 1 species
CCUACGGGUGGCUGCAGUGGGGAAUAUUGGGCAAUGGGCGCAAGCCUGACCCAGCAACGCCGCGUGAAGGAAGAAGGCUUUCGGGUUGUAAACUUCUUUUGUCAGGGACGAAGCUAGUGACGGUACCUACCGAAUAAGCCACGGCUAACUACGUGCCAGCCGCCGCGGUAAUACGUAGGUGGCAAGCGUUAUCCGGAUUUACUGGGUGUAAAGGGCGUGUAGGCGGGGCUGCGAGUCAGAUGUGAAAACCACGGGCUCAACCUGUGGCCUGCAUUUGAUACUGUAGUUCUUGAGUACUGGAGAGGCAGACAGAAUUCCUAGUGUAGCGGUGAAAUGCGUAGAGAUUAGGAGGAACACCAGUGGCGAAGGCGGUCUGCUGGACAGCGACUGACGCUGAGGCGCGAAAGCGUGGGGAGCAAACAGGAUUAGAUACCCGUGUAGUC